UUCCAUUAUUUCGCAACUUCUUUAUCAAAUUUCUUGGACUGUGUCAUCUUUCUCUCGCUCUUCGGAUUGAUCUAUAGACAUUGCUUUGCUCCAAUAUAGCCAUGGUUGAUUUCUGCUUCAACAAUUAGAGAGACAAAGCUCAGUUUGAGUCAAGUCUUGCUUCUUCGAUUUUAUCUUCAUCUUUAGUUUUUUCGUUCGAUUUUUAGAUUUGGGUGAACAAUUUUAUAAAGUUUUGGCGACAGAUUUGGUUCUGCGGGUUUACGAAGUUUUGAUUUUUAUGUUGUCGAAAUCUGAUUAAUUGCUUGCAGAAUUCGUAUUUAGCUCGAGUUUUUGGGUAGUGAAGAAAUACUCCUCCUAUGUUGAGUAAACUUCAAUUUUGGGAAAGAGAAGGUUCGAAUCGACGUCGUCGAACUCGAUUAUAAAGACGGCGAUGGUGUUCCCGUUGCUGGAAUGACAAAACUGGACAUGCCUCACGGGAUUACGAUUUCUAUUACGAGUUUCAACGGCGAUGGCGUUCCUGUCCUUUGUGUUGCCAUAAAUGUAGCCUGCAAUAUCAGAGGUGGUUAUUUCAAAGGUUUUGAAGGGGGCCUACUACAGUGUAUAUCAGAAGUUACAUAUGAAGAUGACAUUAAGAAAGUUCCUUCUUCUCCUGACAUUAGCAACUGUUUAAUUUCAGAGGACGAACCUUCAGCUGUAAACGGGAAUAAAGAUUCACUUCGAUUUGAUGGAAUGGCUGAUAAUGAGGUCGAAAGGAGACUAAAGAUGCUGUAGUGUAAUCGAUUUGAUCGAAUGGCUGAUAAUGAGAUCGAAAGGAGACUAAAGAUAUGUUAACGACGGAAGACCAUUUUGGCAACAUAUAGUUAGUUCUUCGACUGGUUGUUCCGACUCUCGGUACUUUGACGAGCUGUAUAACUAUUAUACUACUGAAAAGGCUUGGCGUCUUUCUGAUCCAGAUGCUGAGAAGGUAUUUAAGGCCCUUUUAGCAGCAGGAGUGAAGUUGGCUGUAGUGUCGAAAUUUUAGCACUCAGUUGAAGCCAGUUUUGAGGGCUCUAAACUGUGAUCACUGGUUUGAUGCCGUAGCAGUUUCCGGUGAGAUAUGUUAAUGAAGGAAGACCAUUUUGGCAAUAUAUAGCGGCUUGGCAUCUUUGUGAUUCAGAUGCUGAGAAGGUAUUUAAGGCCCUUAGAGCGGCAGGAGCGAAGUUGGCUGUAGUGUCGAAUUUUGACACUCAGUUGAGACCAGUUUUGAGGGCUCUGAACUGUGAUCACUGGUUUGAUGCCGUAGCAGUUUCCGCUGAGAUAGAAGCAUAGAAGCCUAAUCCAACAAUAUUUUUAAAAGCGUGCGAGUUACUAGGAGUAAAUCCAGACGACGCUGUUCAUGUAGGCGAUGAUCAUAGAAAUGACAUUUGGAGUAAUUUUUUGGUUUGAUAUUAUCACUUAUUGCAGUCCUCCCAACCAUGCUGGACCUGCUUUUUACUGAAGCAACAAAGCAUAAGGAUGGUGGACCACUGGAUAAGGAGUCUUCAAAUACAAUUGUAAGGAGAUCCUGCAAAUAGGGAGGGCUGACAUCUUAUCUGGUGAUAUCAUCCUACCAGCACAGAGAAGAUGGGUAUAUAUGAUACAAUAAAACUGUUACAACAAAUGAAGCACAACAAUCGUUAGAGCGUGAAGAGACAUCAGUAAAAUUAUUGAAUUUACUUGUUCAUAGUUAUUGCCAAGAUAAGUAUCUGCUUUAAACUCAGUGGCUAUUUGGUGCAAUUUUUACAUAAAAUUGUUCAAUUUCUUUUCUCAUUCUCUAUUUAAUGACCAUAGAUUGAUUUUCCUCACUAGCUUGUCGUUGUUUAUUUGUUGUCGUAAAGGAAAAAAAGUCUUACUUGAGUUAUUAUUUGUUGUUCAAUACGUCUUGAUACAUACUAUUAGGGCUUUCCUUCUCUUGCUUGUGACAGGUGGAAAUGGGUUCCAGAGCAGGGGCUCUCAAGCAAAUGCUACUUGAUAUUCUAGAGGAUACUCAUGAAAUACGGCACAUCUAUAAUCGGGAGAAAUUGUGUACUUAGAAAGAAAACGAUGAGAUAGAGUGCUCCGUACCCCUGGAUAAGGAGAUUGCUGAAGAAGAAAAAGAAGAGAAAUUGAAAUGCUUUUGGAAAAUUAUCUCCAGAGGUUGUCUAUCGGUGCUAUUUCAACUCCAUUAGUGUAGAUAGCAUAGCUCAUUAGUUGUUGCAUCCUUAGUUUACGUAAUUACUCUGCAAUAACAUAAUCUACAAGUGUAAAAAGUAUAAGGAAAAAGAAGAUAAAUCGGUCCUUAUUAGUCGCCAGCAAUCAAAAUGCAUCUCCUAUUCUAGAAUUUAUAAAUAUUAUAUGUAUCAAUGUUAAUAAGCGACAGUCACUAUCAUAUGUGAAUGUGUGAAUGUGAGCAGCCAGUAGUAUGUUAUUCCCAUGAUUGUAUAAAACUUACAUUUGAGAUCAUUUUCACCAACUGAUCCAAUCAAAUGGAUACUCCCUUACUGUUA